rnacentral:rRNA from 1 species
ACACUCCUGCGGGAGGCAGCAGUGGGGAAUUUUGGACAAUGGGCGAAAGCCUGAUCCAGCAAUGCCGCGUGAGUGAAGAAGGCCUUCGGGUUGUAAAGCUCUUUUGUCAGGGAAGAAACGGUGAGAGCUAAUAUCUUUUGCUAAUGACGGUACCUGAAGAAUAAGCACCGGCUAACUACGUGCCAGCAGCCGCGGUAAUACGUAGGGUGCAAGCGUUAAUCGGAAUUACUGGGCGUAAAGCGUGCGCAGGCGGUUUUGUAAGUCUGAUGUGAAAUCCCCGGGCUCAACCUGGGAAUUGCAUUGGAGACUGCAAGGCUAGAAUCUGGCAGAGGGGGGUAGAAUUCCACGUGUAGCAGUGAAAUGCGUAGAUAUGUGGAGGAACACCGAUGGCGAAGGCAGCCCCCUGGGUCAAGAUUGACGCUCAUGCACGAAAGCGUGGGGAGCAAACAGGAUUAGAAACCCGUGUAGUCCCA